CUAAACCUGCGCAACAGGACACACGCUACAGUUGGGACGGCAGUUGGGUUCGGGUGGUGGAAUUCGUCGCGUGUUUGAAAUUAAAAUCCAGCAGUGGGGAAUGAGGAUUGUACUCGCACUCCCUGGGUGUCUGUCGGGCUAAUAUGAAUGUUAAAAUAAUGUCAGUUUAGCCUUGGGAGCACCGAAAUACGUUUAAAUUUACGCAUCUGGGAGCGACUCACACGGCUUACAUUGAACAUACAAUCGAUUUGUACAGCUGGAUAUUUGCGGAGGCUAUUAAGUUCAACGACCCUGCUGAAAGGUACGAGUUGGCAGCGGCUCAUCUGCAAAUCGGACCCAUCACAACACACAAGGAUAAGGACAUUUCUGAGGCUAAAUUACAGCAAGACAGUAAGCGGUGCAGCCAGCAAGACGAGCGAAGAAUGUGGACGCCGCACGUGGUAAUCAUUCUUAACCGGCAACAGGAUUGGUCCAGGAGCAGUCGCCACGUCACACAGGAAACAGCGGGGAGGCGUCGCGCAGGAAGACCGCCCCUUACCUGGUUGAACUCCUCCCACGAGUUGCUCCAGGUCCAGUAGUGCGCCUUGUACUGCCC